rnacentral:rRNA from 1 species
CCUACGGGCUGCAGCAGUGAGGAAUAUUGCGCAAUGGGGGCAACCCUGACGCAGCGACGCCGCGUGGAUGAUGAAGGCCUUCGGGUUGUAAAAUCCUGUCAGAUGGGAAGAAGUGGUAGGUGGUUAAUAUCCAUCUACUUUGACGGUACCAUCAAAGGAAGCACCGGCUAACUCCGUGCCAGCAGCCGCGGUAAUACGGAGGGUGCAAGCGUUGUUCGGAAUUACUGGGCGUAAAGCGCGCGUAGGCGGCUAUCUAAGUCAGAUGUGAAAGCCCGCGGCUCAACCGUGGAAGUGCAUUUGAAACUGGGUAGCUUGAGUACUGGAGGGGGUAGUGGAAUUCCCGGUGUAGAGGUGAAAUUCGUAGAUAUCGGGAGGAAUACCGGUGGCGAAGGCGACUACCUGGCCAGAUACUGACGCUGAGGUGCGAAAGCGUGGGGAGCAAACAGGAUUAGAUACCCUCGUAGUC